rnacentral:pre_miRNA from 1 species
GGUGCACUGGUGGGGUCCCUCGGCCUGACCUGCAGGGAUCGAGCUGAAACAGACUCUCCAUCAUCCCCUGAGGGGUCCCAGAUUGAGAAAGGGUGUAGGUCAGGCCGAGGGACCCCACCAGUGCACC